CCCGGCUGGGAACAGCCGCGUGGGCGGGGCCGCAUUGCACUGUCCGGACAGUUCCUGGGCCGCGAGGCGCGGGGAGUGGCCCUAAGCGCGGGGCUGUACGGGGAGGGCCGGGGCGUGGGGCGAACGCGGGGGCGGGGUCGGGGCGGGGCCGGGGAGGCGGAAGCGGCGCGUGAGCCUAAGUCGGAGCCGCGUUGAAGCCAGCGUCCGGGCCGGCAGAGCGGCGUCGGCUGGGUUGGCCGGGGCGGUGUGGCGCUAGAGCCUGGGCGGGCCUGGGGCGAGGAGUCAAGGCUGCGGAGAGGGUGACGGGCGGGCGGAGGGCUUGUACCCGUGUGGUCUUCGGAGCGGCCAGAGGUCCGGCCUCCGAGCGGUCCCGGAGGAGGAUGCGACCGGGGGGCCCCGGGCGGGGCGGGCGGCGGCGGCUGCAGCGCUAGCGGCGCGGGGGCUGGGCGGCGGCGCCGGCAUGAGGCGCAGGGCCGGUGUCCGCGGGAGGGUGGCGCUGCCGGCGGCCCGGCCGCUCCCGCUGCAAUUGCUCGCUGGGCUCGCCGUGCCCUGCCAGUGGGGCCCCCGCCGCUCUGGUCCCGGCCGCCGCUGGUGACCACUCGCCACCCCCCCGGAGGCUUCACCCGCGCCCUCCCCCAGGACGCGCCAGCGGAGCUCCGGCCCCUUCGCCCUGGACGCGGAGGCCGCGCUGUGCGGGGCGACGGCGAGGCCGGAAGAUGGCCUGGGUGCUCAAGAUGGACGAGGUGAUCGAGUCCGGGCUGGUGCACGACUUCGACGCCAGCCUCUCGGGCAUCGGGCAGGAGCUGGGCGCCGGCGCUUACAGCAUGAGUGAUGUCUUGGCAUUGCCCAUUUUCAAGCAGGAAGAUUCCAGCCUUCCACUGGAUGGUGAAACAGAGCACCCACCCUUUCAGUAUGUGAUGUGUGCCGCAACGUCGCCAGCAGUAAAACUGCAUGAUGAAACGCUUACUUAUUUGAACCAAGGUCAGUCUUACGAAAUUCGGAUGCUGGAUAAUCGGAAAAUGGGUGAUAUGCCUGAGAUCAGUGGAAAAUUAGUAAAGAGCAUCAUAAGGGUUGUAUUCCAUGACAGACGGCUACAAUACACAGAGCAUCAGCAACUUGAAGGAUGGAAGUGGAAUCGCCCAGGAGACAGACUUCUUGAUUUAGAUAUUCCAAUGUCUGUGGGAAUAAUUGACACAAGGACAAAUCCAAGCCAGUUAAAUGCGGUUGAAUUUCUGUGGGACCCAGCAAAACGCACCUCUGCUUUCAUUCAGGUACACUGCAUCAGCACAGAAUUUACUCCACGGAAGCACGGAGGUGAAAAGGGAGUGCCCUUUAGGAUCCAGGUUGACACAUUUAAGCAGAACGAAAACGGGGAAUACACAGAUCAUCUACACUCAGCUAGCUGCCAAAUCAAAGUUUUUAAGCCUAAAGGUGCAGACAGGAAACAAAAAACUGACCGAGAGAAGAUGGAGAAGAGAACAGCUCAUGAAAAAGAAAAGUAUCAGCCGUCCUAUGAUACCACAAUCCUCACAGAGAUGAGGCUUGAGCCUAUAAUUGAAGAUGCAGUUGAACAUGAGCAGAAAAAGUCCAGCAAGCGGACUUUGCCAGCAGACUACGGUGAUUCUCUGGCAAAGCGAGGCAGUUGUUCUCCGUGGCCCGAUGCCCCCACAGCCUAUGUGAAUAACAGCCCUUCCCCAGCGCCCACUUUCACCUCCCCACAGCAGAGCACUUGCAGUGUCCCAGACAGCAAUUCUUCUUCCCCAAAUCAUCAGGGAGAUGGAGCUUCACAGGCCUCUGGUGAACAAAUUCAGCCUUCAGCUACGAUCCAGGAGACGCAACAAUGGCUACUCAAAAACAGAUUCUCUUCCUACACAAGACUGUUCUCUAAUUUUUCAGGUGCCGACUUAUUAAAACUGACAAAGGAGGAUUUAGUUCAAAUUUGUGGUGCAGCCGAUGGAAUUCGGCUCUAUAAUUCACUGAAGUCAAGGGCAGGCCCAGAUAUGAUGCAGGCACUGAUGAGGGCAGAGGUAGACUGUAAGACUGGUAGAAAUGCACAUGGGCAGUACUGAUUUCUUGAAGACGACUGGGUUUGUUGCCAAGAAAACAAAACUUCUAAUUUAGCAUCUGACAGACCAUCUCAAUGGUUUAGAGUCUGGAUCAUCAUAUUAGACCACCUGUGAUAGUUGGUGUGAGGUGUGUGGUUUUUAUAUUUUUAUUAGUAAAUUAUUUUGUAUAACGAAAUAACAUUAUAAAGUUCUCAUAAGGAAAUAGAACUUAGAUUCCUGUAGUUGUCACAUUUGUACAUGUGUAAGGCAGCUUUCUCUCCCAGGCUCAUCAGUGGCAUCUUCUGAUUGCAGGUCAGUUAGGCCCCGUUUAACCAUCUAUGUCUGCCGGGAGCAGCCAAGCAGCACGGUGCUGCAAGGGCAGCAGCAAGCUGCAAGCAGUGCAAGCGAGAAUGGCAGUGGGGCACCCUAUGUUUAUCAUGCAAUCUACUUGGAAGAAAUGAUUGCUUCAGAAGUUGCUCGAAAACUUGCGCUGGUGUUUAAUAUUCCUCUCCACCAAAUUAAUCAGGUUUACAGACAGGGUCCCACUGGUAUUCACAUUCUUGUUAGUGAUCAGAUGGUUCAGAAUUUUCAAGAUGAGAGUUGUUUUUUAUUCUCCACAGUAAAAGCUGAAAAUAGUGAUGGCAUCCACAUAAUUUUGAAGUGAUGUCUUAUAUAGACUGAACUAUAUUCAGUACCAAAUAGUCACGCUUAAAAGUGUGUGAAGACUGAAUCCAAGAAGUCUUGGGAUUGGAUUUUACCAUAUGAAAUGUUUCAUAUUGAAAACACAAGAUGACCUUUCUAACGAGCUGUAUGAGAGGUGAAUCUCCUCACUGUCACUGCCAUAGCCAAGCACCCUCAUGAGAGUGAGCACAUCGGCACAGCAUGCAUCCAGCUCUGGAGGCCACAGUGCAGGCAUAGCUGCCUGCUGCUCUGGCAGAGGCCAGUAAAUACAGUUCCUAGAAGCAGCCUUUGCUGUCUUUUUACACUGUAUGCGGUUUGGAAAUGAAUGUAGAAACUUACUGUGGGCAUUUACCUUUCUGUGCCAGUUUGGCUUUUAUUGCCUGAACCUUAUGCUGACCUGGAGAGGAGAUGGGGGACAGUGCUGUUUUGGGGCCAGCAGUGAAUCUGUAUGCGGAAAGAUGUGUUGUGCUGAUGUGGCCGUUGGUGGUCAGGUAAAAGGCUCGGCACCUUCUUGGAAGAAAUCAUGUCUAAGGGUGUACGUUUGAUAUGAUCAUGCCAGAUUGGAGAAGAUCCAAGCCAGGAAGAUGGGCUUGAAGCAAACUGCAUUAUCAGGAGUACCUUGGUGAGAGGAUCAGUGUAAAUCCUAAUAGGUACAAAGACUUUUGUGUUUUGGCUUUGUCACAGAUUUAUUGAAAAACUUUUUUGCUUCUGCUUCCAUUUUUAGCAUUUUAGUUUCUGGUUUUCAUUUUUGGAGAUUCCUUGCUAAACUCGUGGUUUUUCUCUCGUUUUCUUCCCUCUCUCCCUCCAUCUCUGACCACCCCCCACCCCCACCAUCCUGUUAAACAUUUUUUAAAGCCCUACCCCAGACAUUCGAAAUAGGUGACCCAAGUAGGGGGAGAAAGUAUUAUUGUUGAUAGCUUCUGAAUAGGUGUUAAGGGAUCUUCAUUAUGAACAAGAUGAAUUUUUUCGUGGAAACACUAGAUGUUAUCAAACACUAAAAUGUACCAUACAAAUCCCUUAAGCCUCUCCUCAAAUAUUGAGCUUUAGUACAAUCAUGGAUAGACAUUCUGGUGAUGAUUUAGGGGCUUUUUAUACACCACAUAAUAGCUUCUUUCUCUAUAAAAAGAGUGCCUCUUUCAUAAAACCAAAUGCUUGUCUGCUAGCAUACUUUUCAAAGGGAAUCCACUGUUUCCUCACUUUCCUCCCAUAUCUAUCUCCGUCCUUCGUCCAAAACCUUCCCAGAAUCCAUCAGCAAGCAUGUUUGAGGCCUAUGGUGUAGGGGACUGAAUUUUUUUUUUUUUUUAACUUCUAUUCCAUUUUAAUUGUAGGAUCUCUGUCCAUAUACCCAGGUGUCCUUAUUUGAAUGUACUAUUUGGUCCUCAUCUGUGUUCAGGCAAAAAAUAGGAAAUGAGUAAUUUUGAGUUUGUAAUCUCUCCCGGAAGACAAACUGCUUCAGUGGGUAAAAGCUUUGACAUGUUUUAUUCAUAAAGGGGGUGAAUUAUUUGCUACAAGGAAGCACGGUCUGUUUUCAUCAUCGAUUUGAAAGUACCUGUAACUCCUAUAGAUCCUAUAGGCAGAGAGAUUUCCUUUCUGACUUUUUGCCUUUGCUUUUGUGUGACCACAUGUUUCCUGUACCAGUCACUGGGGAAAGAAGUGAGUUUAUCUCUUGUUUUAAAAGUUUUGCUUGUCUAUUUAGCAUUCCUUUUUGGGUCUCAAGAUUUAUGGAACAAUAAAUGUCAUUUAAUGCUGUGUGCUUAUUUUGAAUUCCUCAUCAGGUUUUAGAAGCGGGGUAAAAAUACUUAGACGCUUAUGAGACUUAAAUUUUACUGCGUGGCAUUGAACAUGAGUUUGUCCCAGUGAAACAGGCUAAAUAAAUCUUGGCACCAGCAAAUUUGUUACUUUGUUUUUUUAAUAGUAGGAUGUACACAUUUCAGUAUAAUAAAUGUUUUCUGAUUGUUUUGCAAA